rnacentral:rRNA from 1 species
GACGAACGCUGGCGGCGUGCUUAACACAUGCAAGUCGAACGGAAAGGCCCUGCUUUUGUGGGGUUCUCGAGUGGCGAACGGGUGAGUAACACGUGAGUAACCUGCCCUUGACUUUGGGAUAACUUCAGGAAACUGGAGCUAAUACCGUAUAGGAGCUCCUGCUGCAUGGUGGGGGUUGGAACGUUUCGGCUGUUGGGGAUGGACUCGCGGCUUAUCAGCUUGUUGGUGGGGUAGUGGCUUGCCAAGGCUUUGACGGGUAGCCGGCCUGAGAGGGUGACCGGCCACAAUGGGACUGAGAUACGGCCCAGACUCCUACGGGAGGCAGCAGUGGGGAAUAUUGCACAAUGGGCGGAAGCCUGAUGCAGCAACGCCGCGUGCGGGAUGACGGCCUUCGGGUUGUAAACCGCUUUCGCCUGUGACGAAGCGUGAGUGACGGUAAUGGGUAAAGAAGCACCGGCUAACUACGUG